rnacentral:rRNA from 1 species
GACGAACGCUGGCGGCGUGCUUAACACAUGCAAGUCGAACGGAAAGGCCCCUUUGGGGGUACUCGAGUGGCGAACGGGUGUGUAACACGUGAGUAACCUGCCCUUGACUUCGGGAUAACUUCAGGAAACUGGGGCUAAUACCGGCUAGGAAUCCUUGCUGCAUGGUGGGGGUUGGAAAGCUUCGGCGGUUUUGGAUGGACUCGCGGCUUAUCAGCUUGUUGGUGGGGUAGUGGCUUACCAAGGCUUUGACGGGUAGCCGCCCUGAGAGCGCGACCGGCCAGCUAGGGACAGUGUUGCGGCCCAGAGUACUGCGGGAGGCAGCAGUGGGGGAAAUUGCACGAGGGGCAGAAGACUGGUACAGCAACGACGGGUAGGGGAGAACCGCCUUGUGGUUGUCGACCGCUGUCAGCAGGGGAGUAAAAUGGGGUGCCGGUGCCUGCAGAAGAAGCACCGGGUAGCUACGUG